CCGCCCUUAGCUCAGCUGGAUAGAGCAUGUGCCUUCUAAGCACAGGGUCAGAGGUUCGAAUCCUCUAGGGCGGGCCA
rnacentral:tRNA from 1 species